UAAAAAAAAAAAAAACACUGCUUCAUGAGAUACUGCAGCCGCCCCCGUACCUCUGCUCGCUUUCUUUCUUUUAAUUAGGAUAACAUGAACCAAUCUAGGAGAGGGGAAGCCAGGUCUGCAGAGGCGAGGGAGGUGCUGACUGCACCCGAAGGGGAGCAUCAUUCUGCACUCCAGUGACAAACCCUCCCUGCUCUGCUGGCAGUGGUGAGCCAAGCCCCGCGGCAUCCCCAGAGGCUGCGCAGGGUCCGGUGGUGAAACACGGCUCGCUCGCUGUCGGGGGAAGCGGGCAUCCUGCUGGGACACCGGCGAGAUUCCUGCCGCAGCCAAGUGAAGCAGCAGCGGAGACACGAGCAGAUGCAGUGAGAAAAGAUUGGUCUCUGGAGGGGAAGCAGCUGAAGCCCCGGUCUCUCAGCCACAUUAUCUGGAUGGCUUCAUCAUCGCUGCCAACCCUCUGCGGUGCCACGCGGUUCCCAGAGCAUGGCUAUAAGGCUGGAAAUGACUCCUGUAGCUUCGUGAUGGAGGCAUGGCCUUACUGAUACAGAGACACUUUUAAGGGGACUUUGACCAGAGUCCAACAUUUGCCUGUUUCAGAGCCCUGUCAAGGGCUUUCACUGAGACAGUUUCACAAAGUUGAACAUAUUGAAUGAGACAACAGAUGUAACAGUUUCAGAAUUGCCACUGAUAAAUACAAUAGUGCUCAUAUACAAUAAAAGUGCAAGGAAAAUGCUAUCCCAGAUAUUAUUCCUCACCAAAAGGUGCAGAGCUUACCAAGAACUUGUCCCUGUCUUGGUGGAGGAGAAGGAGCACAGUCCAUUGACUGCAUCUUCUAGGUUUCCAAUUCCUUCAUGCCCCCCCCCCCGCCCCAGUUUUUCUUUUUUCCUCCAAGUUUUUUUUUUUUUCCCAACACUGAUUUUUUUUUUUUUUAACACUAACCCCUAACACUCUUUUAUAUCCUAACCUUACCUGUUCCCUUCCUGAGGUGGCAUUUAGCCAUUUGGGUGAAGAGUUGAGUACUAUAACCACUUAUGUUUAGCAUGUACGUCAUUAAGCUCAUUAUCAUCUUCAGGGAGCAUUAACUUUAACAUUCAUUUUAUACGUAAUGAAGCAAAAGGUUUCACUCAGGCACCAUGGCCCUCA